UAGCCUUUAGCAACAAAAGUAUUAAAGGUCCUGCCUGCCCAGUGAAAAUUUUUAAACGGCCGCGGUAUUCUAACCGUGCAAAGGUAGCGUAAUCACUUGUCUUCUAAAUAAAGACCAGUAUGAAUGGCUAAAUGAGGACAACACUGUCUCCUACAACUAAUCAGUGAAACUGAUCUCCCAGUCCAAAAGCUGGAAUACGAACACCAGACGAGAAGACCCUGUGGAGCUUAAAAUCAACCUAGUUAACAAAACUAACAAAGAUUUUGAGUUGGGGCGACUUCGGAACAAAACAAAACUUCCGAGCACAGAACCACCACUUCUAACCAAGGCGAACAGGCCAAGGCAUUAACACCGACCCAGUCAUACUGAGCAACGAACCAAGUUACCCCAGGGAUAACAGCGCCAUCCUCUUCAAGAGUCCUUAUCGACAAGAGGGUUUACGACCUCGAUGUUGGAUCAGGGCACCCAAAUGGUGCAACCGCUAUUAAAGGUUCGUUUGUUCAACGAUUAACAGCC
rnacentral:rRNA from 1 species